UUAGAGUUUUGAUCCUGGCUCAGAUUGAACGCUGGCGGCGGCCUACACAUGCAGUCGAGCGGAUGAGAGGAGCUUGCCCCUUGAUUUAGCGGCGGGCGGGUGAGUAAUGCCUAGGAAUCUGCCUGGUAGUGGGGGAUAACGUCCGGAAACGGGCGCUAAUACCGCAUACGUCCUACGGGAGAAAGCAGGGGACCUUCGGGCCUUGCGCUAUCAGAUGAGCCUAGGUCGGAUUAGCUAGUUGGUGAGGUAAUGGCUCACCAAGGCGACGACCCGUAACUGGUCUGAGAGGAUGAUCAGUCACACUGGAACUGAGACACGGUCCAGACUCCUACGGGAGGCAGCAGUGGGGAAUAUUGGACAAUGGGCGAAAGCCUGAUCCAGCCAUGCCGCGUGUGUGAAGAAGGUCUUCGGAUUGUAAAGCACUUUAAGUUGGGAGGAAGGGCAGUAAGCUAAUACCUUGCUGUUUUGACGUUACCGACAGAAUAAGCACCGGCUAACUUCGUGCCAGCAGCCGCGGUAAUACGAAGGGUGCAAGCGUUAAUCGGAAUUACUGGGCGUAAAGCGCGCGUAGGUGGUUCGUUAAGUUGGAUGUGAAAUCCCCGGGCUCAACCUGGGAACUGCAUUCAAAACUGUCGAGCUAGAGUAUGGUAGAGGGUGGUGGAAUUUCCUGUGUAGCGGUGAAAUGCGUAGAUAUAGGAAGGAACACCAGUGGCGAAGGCGACCACCUGGACUGAUACUGACACUGAGGUGCGAAAGCGUG
rnacentral:rRNA from 1 species